GUGCCAGCAGCCGCGGUAAUACAGAGGUCCCAAGCGUUGUUCGGAUUCACUGGGCGUAAAGGGUGCGUAGGUGGUUGGGUAAGUUUGAUGUGAAAGCUCUGGGCUCAACCCAGAAAUGGCAUUGAAUACUAUUCGACUAGAGGAGUGGAGGGGGGACUGGAAUACUUGGUGUAGCAGUGAAAUGCGUAGAUAUCAAGUGGAACACCAGUGGCGAAGGCGAGUCCCUGGACACUUCCUGACACUGAGGCACGAAAGCUAGGGGAGCAAACAGGAUUAGAAACCCCCGUAGUCC
rnacentral:rRNA from 1 species